rnacentral:rRNA from 1 species
GACGAACGCUGGCGGCGUGCCUAAUACAUGCAAGUAGAACGCACAGUUUAUACCGUAGCUUGCUACACCAUAGACUGUGAGUUGCGAACGGGUGAGUAACGCGUAGGUAACCUGCCUGGUAGCGGGGGAUAACUAAUGGAAACGAUAGCUAAUACCGCAUAAUAUUAAUUAUUGCAUGAUAAUUAAUUGAAAGGUGCAAUUGCACCACUACCAGAUGGACCUGCGUUGUAUUAGCUAGUAGGGGAGGUAACGGCUCACCUAGGCGACGAUACAUAGCCGACCUGGAGGGGUGGUCGGCCACCCUGGGAAUGAGACACGGCCCAGACUCCUACGGGAGGCAGCCGUAGGGGAUCUUCGGCAAUGGACGGAAGUCUGACCGAGCAACGACGCGGGAGUGAAGAAGGUUUUCGGAUCGUAAAGCUCUGUUGUAAGGGAAGAACGGGUGUGAGAGUGGAAAGUUCACACUGUGACGGUACCUUACCAGAAAGGGACGGCUAACUACGUG